UACGGAGGGUGCAGGCGUUAUCCGGAUUUACUGGGUUUAAAGGGUGUGUAGGCGGAUUAUUAAGUCAGCGGUGAAAUCUCCGGGCUCAACCCGGAAACUGCCAUUGAUACUAUUAGUCUUGAAUGUUGUUGAGGUGGGCGGAACGGGUCAUGUAGCGGUGAAAUGCAUAGAUAUGACCCGGAACACCGAUUGCGAAGGCAGCCCCACUAA
rnacentral:rRNA from 1 species